rnacentral:rRNA from 1 species
GAUGAACGCUAGCGGCAGGCCUAAUACAUGCAAGCCAAGGGCUGUUUGGUGUAGCAAGCCAUCAAACAACCGGCGGACGGGUGCGUAACGCGUAUGCAACCUACCCUAUACAGGAGGAUAGCACUCGGAAAAGACGAUUGCUACUCCAUAAGAAUGCUUAGAGGCAUCUUUAAGAAAUUAAAGCCGCGAUGCGGUAUAGGAUGGGCGUGCGUCCGAUUGGCUAGUUGGUGAGUGGAAAGCUAACCAAGGCGAAGAACGGGAGGGGUUAGGAGAGGAAGACGCCCCACACGUGAACUGCGAUCCGGGCCCGACUGCUACGGGAGGCAGCAGUAUGGAAUACUGGACGAUGGGUGAUAGCCUGAUCCAGCCAUGCCGCGUGCAGGAAGAAGGCCCUAUGGGUUGUAAACUGCUUUUGAGAGGGAGAAAUAAGGGCGAUGCGUCGCUCGAUGAUAGUACUUCUCGAAUAAGCAUCGGCUAACUUCGUG